GAUUAAGUUAUUAAGGGCGCACGGUGGAUGCCUUGGCACUAGAAGCCGAUGAAGGACGUUACUAACGACGAUAUGCUUUGGGGAGCUGUAAGUAAGCUUUGAUCCAGAGAUUUCCGAAUGGGGAAACCCAGCAUGAGUUAUGUCAUGUUAUCGAUAUGUGAAUACAUAGCAUAUCAGAAGGCACACCCGGAGAACUGAAACAUCUUAGUACCCGGAGGAAGAGAAAGAAAAUUCGAUUCCCUUAGUAGCGGCGAGCGAAACGGGAAGAGCCCAAACCAACAAGCUUGCUUGUUGGGGUUGUAGGACACUCUAUACGGAGUUACAAAGGACGACAUUAGACGAAUCAUCUGGAAAGAUGAAUCAAAGAAGGUAAUAAUCCUGUAGUCGAAAAUGUUGUCUCUCUUGAGUGGAUCCUGAGUACGACGGAGCACGUGAAAUUCCGUCGGAAUCUGGGAGGACCAUCUCCUAAGGCUAAAUACUCUCUAGUGACCGAUAGUGAACCAGUACCGUGAGGGAAAGGUGAAAAGCACCCCGGAAGGGGAGUGAAAUAGAACCUGAAACCGUGUGCUUACAAGUAGUCAGAGCCCGUUAAUGGGUGAUGGCGUGCCUUUUGUAGAAUGAACCGGCGAGUUACGAUUUGAUGCAAGGUUAAGCAGUAAAUGUGGAGC
rnacentral:rRNA from 1 species